rnacentral:rRNA from 1 species
UACAUGGGGUGCAAACGUUGCUCGGAAUUAUUGGGCGUAAAGCGCACGUAGGCGGUUUGUUAAGUCGGAUGUGAAAUCCCUCGGCUCAACUGAGGAAGUGCAUCCGAAACUGGCAGGCUUGAGUACUAAAGAGGGUCGCGGAAUUCCCGGUGUAGAGGUGAAAUUCGUAGAUAUCGGGAGGAACACCGGUGGCGAAGGCGGCGACCUGGGUAGAUACUGACGCUGAGGUGCGAAAGCGUGGGGAGCAACAGG